CGGCGACGGGUGAGUAACACGUGGGUGAUCUGCCUCGCACUCUGGGAUAAGCCUGGGAAACUGGGUCUAAUACCGGAUAUGACCUUACAUCGCAUGGUGUUUGGUGGAAAGAUUUAUUGGUGCGAGAUGGGCCCGCGGCCUAUCAGCUUGUUGGUGGGGUAAUGGCCUACCAAGGCGACGACGGGUAGCCGGCCUGAGAGGGCGACCGGCCACACUGGGACUGAGACACGGCCCAGACUCCUACGGGAGGCAGCAGUGGGGAAUAUUGCACAAUGGGCGAAAGCCUGAUGCAGCGACGCCGCGUGAGGGAUGACGGCCUUCGGGUUGUAAACCUCUUUCGACAGGGACGAAGCGUAAGUGACGGUACCUGUAGAAGAAGCACCGGCCAACUACGUGCCAGCAGCCGCGGUAAUACGUAGGGUGCGAGCGUUGUCCGGAAUUACUGGGCGUAAAGAGCUUGUAGGCGGCUUGUCGCGUCGAUCGUGAAAACUUGGGGCUCAACCCCAAGCUUGCGGUCGAUACGGGCAGGCUUGAGUACUUCAGGGGACUUGGGAA
rnacentral:rRNA from 1 species